UACGUAGGGGGCGAGCGUUGUCCGGAUUUAUUGGGCGUAAAGAGCGUGUAGGCGGUUCGGUAAGUCUGCCGUGAAAUCCUGGGGCUCAACCCCGGGCGUGCGGUGGAUACUGCCGGGCUAGAGGGUGGUAGAGGCGAGUGGAAUUCCAGGUGUAGCGGUGAAAUGCGUAGAUAUCUGGAGGAACACCGGUGGCGAAGGCGGCAUUCUGGACUGCAACUGACACUGAACGACGAAAGCCAGGGGAGCAAACGGG
rnacentral:rRNA from 1 species